GACGAACGCUGGCGGCGUGCUUAACACAUGCAAGUCGAACGAAGUGGCGAACGGGUGAGUAACGCGUAAUCAACCUGCCCUUCAGAGGGGGACAACAGUUGGAAACGACUGCUAAUACCGCAUAAUGAAGGAGGGGAUUGCGUCUGAUUAGCUCGUUGGAGGGGUAACGGCCCACCAAGGCGAUGAUCAGUAGCCGGUCUUGGAGGAGGGACGGCCAAAGUGGGACCGGGACACGGCCCAGAAGUCCACGGGAGGCAGCAGUGGGGAAUCUUCCGAAAUGGACGAAAGUCUGACGGAGCAACGCCGCGUGAGGGAUGACGGCUUUCGGGUUGUAAAGCUCUGUUAAUCGGGACGCGGUACCGGAAUAGAAAGCCACGGCUAACUACGUGCCAGCAGCCGCGGUAAUAC
rnacentral:rRNA from 1 species